rnacentral:rRNA from 1 species
AGAACGAACGCUGGCGGCAGGCCUAAUACAUGCAAGUCGAACGCACUCUUCGGAGUGAGUGGCAGACGGGUGAGUAACGCGUGGGAACCUUCCCAAUGGUACGGAAUAACUCCGGGAAACCGGUGCUAAUACCGUAUAAGCCCCUCGGGGGAAAGAUUUAUCGCCAUUGGAUGGGCCCGCGUCGGAUUAGCUAGUUGGUAAGGUAAUGGCUUACCAAGGCUACGAUCCGUAGCUGGUCUGAGAGGAUGAUCAGCCACACUGGGACUGAGACACGGCCCAGACUCCUACGGGAGGCAGCAGUAGGGAAUCUUGGACAAUGGGCGAAAGCCUGAUCCAGCCAUGCCGCGUGAGUGAAGAAGGCCUUAGGGUUGUAAAGCUCUUUUGGCGGGGACGAUAAUGACGGUACCCGCAGAAUAACGCCCGGCUAACUUCGUGCCAGCAGCCGC